rnacentral:snRNA from 1 species
AUACUUACCUUGCUUGGAGUUUCCUCGCUCAAGAAUGAGGAACCUCAGUGUGUGACGGCCUGCAUUGCACAUCGCGGAGUCGUCCGCACUUCAUUGUCCUUCGGGGCCAUGAGAGGCGUAAUUUUUGAUUUAUAACCCAUCUUUCAUUGUGUGUUCAG